rnacentral:tRNA from 1 species
UUUUAACUUAAACACAGUCACCAGACUUCACGGGCGCCUUAAUGAAGCUUUUCUACCAAGCAGUG